rnacentral:rRNA from 1 species
GAUGAACGCUAGCGGCAGGCUUAACACAUGCAAGUCGAGGGGUAUAGUUCUUCGGAACUAGAGACCGGCGCACGGGUGCGUAACGCGUAUGCAAUCUACCUUUUGCAGAGGGAUAGCCCAGAGAAAUUUGGAUUAAUACCUCAUAGUAUGUGAGAAUGGCAUCAUUUUCACAUUAAAGUCACAACGGCAAAAGAUGAGCAUGCGUCCCAUUAGCUUGUUGGUAAGGUAACGGCUUACCAAGGCAACGAUGGGUAGGGGUCCUGAGAGGGAGAUCCCCCACACUGGUACUGAGACACGGACCAGACUCCUACGGGAGGCAGCAGUGAGGAAUAUUGGACAAUGGGCGCAAGCCUGAUCCAGCCAUGCCGCGUGCAGGAUGACGGUCCUAUGGAUUGUAAAACUGCUUUUGUACAGGAAGAAACACUGGUUCGUGAACCAGCUUGACGGUACUGUAAGAAUAAGGAUCGGCUAACUCCGUGCCAGCAGCCG